UUAGAUUUCCUCAUCAUUCUUUCUUACAUCAAAUCAUUUCCUAAGAAUCAGAGACAAACAUAGAGACAAAGAAAAGCAACUUCAGAGACAGAUAUGGAGAUCAAAGUUGAUGAAGAUCAUCAAAAGAGUACAAAAGAAGAAGAGAUCAAAAAGCCACUUCUUGAAGAAGACAAAGACUUUCCUGAUAUAGAAAGAACAACAUGGAUACAAAAGGCAAUAGGUCAAACGUUCCAAACCACUGCUCAUUUAGCUAAUCUCUUACCAACAGGGACCGUUCUCGCGUUUCAGCUCUUAUCGCCAAUUUUCUCAAACGGCGGUCAAUGCGAUUUAGUGAGCAAGAUCAUGACAUCGACUCUAGUAGCAAUAUGUGGAUUCUCUUGCUUCAUACUCAGCUUCACGGAUUCUUACAAAGACAAAAACGGCACUAUUUGCUACGGAUUCGCAACGUUCCACGGGUUUUGGAUCAUCGAUGGAUCCACGACUCUUCCUCAAGAAUUAUCUAAGAGAUACAAGCUAAGGUUCAUAGAUUUUGUUCACGCCUUCAUGUCGUUUUUCGUGUUUGGCGCCGUGGUUUUAUUCGACCGGAACGCUGUCAACUGUUUCUUUCCAGCACCGUCAGCUGAAGCGUUGGAGGUUCUCACGGCGUUGCCCGUAGGCGUAGGGGUGUUUUGUAGUAUGUUGUUUGCAACAUUUCCUACAACACGCAACGGGAUUGGUUUCCCACUUUCUAGUAAAUGAUUUGAUUACUUGUAACUUUGUUCUAUCGAUGUAACUUGUGUGUGAUUCAAGAUUCUCUUUGAUGAUCUCUUGAAAGAGACUUCUCCUAUACUGUUUCUUGUAUUCAAGCUAAUAAUAUAUAUUGUACGGUAUUGUUGUUAUAAAAGGAAGUAAUUAAGAUUACCUCAAGACGUUACACAUUGCACAGUUUAAAUUUAAAGCAGAGGAUUAACUCUGCCGACGAAGUACCCAUUCGAACCCUGGUGUGUGAGACUUGUUAGGUGACACAACCACUAGGAAAGUAAUGAAUUGGUGUCAUAAUCUUUAAUUAAAUUGUACCAACUUGACCAAGGGAAAUAAGUAACCUAAGAAUCCGGUUUAGGCUGGUUUGCUAAAUCAGAAACGAUUCAAGGUUAUCGAUUGAUGCAUUAGCAUCUUACUCAUCUAAGUCAUCAUUAAUUCGAGAUCAGUGUGUUGUUUUUUUUUAUAAUGUUGUUCCACGAGAGUAGAGUGUUCGUUCUUGUGGGUUUUGGUUUACUCUUGGUUUUGUGACUCAGUCUCUUGAAUCUCUAUGGUCUUCUUCAACAUAUUCCAAAUCUCUGUUUCCUGGAAAACAGAUUCAAUCUAUGGGUUUUUCAAAAGAUUCAUGAUUUCACAGUUGUAAAAUCUGUAAUCAUCACUAAUAAUUAACUAAAAAAAGAGAGGUAAUUUAGAUUACCUCAAAGAGAAUCCCACCCGAAGGUGGUAGAGUUGAGUUUUUGACAACCUCAGAGUUGAGUUUUUGACAACCUCAGAGAGUGAACUCUUUAAGCCACGGUUUUUUAAGACCGGGCCAAGGAGUACCAAUCGAACCCUGGGGGGUUGUGUAAGAAGUUGAAUACCACAAACCACUUUAAACGGGAUCGAUUGGUGUUAUAAUCUCCAUUUUAAUUGUAGUUAGAAGGUUAAUAUAACCGGUUCCCGGUUUAGUACAUCGGUUCUUUAAUAUAGUUUUACAAACCAGAAACAACAAUUCGGGUUCGAGGAUUGCAUCGUCGUCAACACCGUACGAUUGUCUGAUCUGGGUUUUUUGUUUUCUAAAGAACCAAGAUUUUCAGAGUUCUUUGAUUGGAAUCUAAUGGAUAAAAAUGGAGAGAUGAAUAACGAUUUCAGAGUUCAAUCAUGUAGAGAAAGGCCAAAAAACAAAAACAAAAGAGAGGUAAUUUAGAUUACCUCAUUUAGGUCUAUCCAACCACAGUGGUGGAAGACGACAACAUCCGACGAGGAGUUUGAGUCAACCUCGGGAGAAAGGGCGCUCCAGGUUAAACUGGGAAGGUUUACAUUCCACUACGGGAAGAAGAUGCGCCCGGAGGCGGCUUAGUAGACCAGCUUAGUAGACCAUCCUCGAGGCUUAGUGCUCGGAGGACGGUAGAAGUUUCACGAGCCAUGAUGCUCGGACAGUAGAAGGUUCUCGAGGCAUAUGAUGCUCGGAUGAAGCCAACUUGGGUACCAAUAUUGCUCGAACCCUGGUGGGAGUCGUGCUCAGCUGAGACUCAACCACCUUGAACAGGUUCGAAUUGGUGUCCUAAUGUCUAUUUUAUUGGUACUUAUAGACUUAUAGACAUCGUUGGGUAAAUGAGCUAACAAAAGCCCACUAAAGAACCCAAUC
rnacentral:lncRNA from 1 species